AAAAUCCUCCAAGUACAAACUAAAAUCUUUCAAUUACAAAAGAAUCCUUCAAGUAUUAAAAAAAAAUCCUACAAGUACAAAACAAAAUUCUACAAGUACGAAACCAAAUUCCACAAGUACCAAACGAAAUUCUACAAGUACGAAAACCUGUCACGUGACUUUUGGCACUAAUUUUCCGCCUUGCUGAUCCACACACAUGCUUGUAAAAUGGGAUGUAAUUCGCACUCCACAACAGCAGGUGGCGCUGUUACCGACUUGCUUGCCGCCGCCACGGACAUGGAAAGAGAAGAGAAGAAGAAACGCUAGCGUGAGGAGGGUGUUUUGAACACGAUGAGCUGCCAACAGAAUUGAACGACUCUGGAGAGAUGUGUGGUGUGCUGUGACCAACAUAUACUACAGUGUGUUGCAUUCACUAGAGGAGGAUGGUUUGCUUGAUCUGUCAAACAUCACACACCUCUUCAGUUGUCAUUAUGCAUUUCUGCCCAGACUACAAGCUAGUCUUGAUGUCUUCACCAGUGGAUGGGAUAACCACCCACUUAGAACUGAGGGUAACCUAACACCCAAUCAGCUGUGGGAGAUGGGGAACAUUCAGCAUGCUAUGGCAGAACCAGAAAAUGCAGAGGGAUUGUACCUACCACAUUUGGACUGGGAGGACAGUGGCCUGCCUGAGGAGCCACACCAUGGUGUCACUGUUCCUGAGAUGGGCAAUGUACUGAGUGAUGAACAAAUGGCAGCACUA